AUACAUGCAAGUAGAACGCUGAAGAGAGGAGCUUGCUCUUCUUGGAUGAGUUGCGAACGGGUGAGUAACGCGUAGGUAACCUGCCUUGUAGCGGGGGAUAACUAUUGGAAACGAUAGCUAAUACCGCAUAACAAUGGAUGACACAUGUCAUUUAUUUGAAAGGGGCAAUUGCUCCACUACAAGAUGGACCUGCGUUGUAUUAGCUAGUAGGUGAGGUAACGGCUCACCUAGGCGACGAUACAUAGCCGACCUGAGAGGGUGAUCGGCCACACUGGGACUGAGACACGGCCCAGACUCCUACGGGAGGCAGCAGUAGGGAAUCUUCGGCAAUGGGGGCAACCCUGACCGAGCAACGCCGCGUGAGUGAAGAAGGUUUUCGGAUCGUAAAGCUCUGUUGUAAGUCAAGAACGAGUGUGAGAGUGGAAAGUUCACACUGUGACGGUAGCUUACCAGAAAGGGACGGCUAACUACGUGCCAGCAGCCGCGGUAAUACGUAGGUCCCGAGCGUUGUCCGGAUUUAUUGGGCGUAAAGCGAGCGCAGGCGGUUUGAUAAGUCUGAAGUUAAAGGCUGUGGCUCAACCAUAGUUCGCUUUGGAAACUGUCAAACUUGAGUGCAGAAGGGGAGAGUGGAAUUCCAUGUGUAGCGGUGAAAUGCGUAGAUAUAUGGAGGAACACCGGUGGCGAAAGCGGCUCUCUGGUCUGUAACUGACGCUGAGGCUCGAAAGCGUGGGGAGCGAACAGGAUUAGAUACCCUGGUAGUCACGCCGUAAACGAUGAGUGCUAGGUGUUGGAUCCUUUCCGGGAUUCAGUGCCGCAGCUAACGCAUUAAGCACUCCGCCUGGGGAGUACGACCGCAAGGUUGAAACUCAAAGGAAUUGACGGGGGCCCGCACAAGCGGUGGAGCAUGUGGUUUAAUUCGAAGCAACGCGAAGAACCUUACCAGGUCUUGACAUCCCGAUGCUAUUUCUAGAGAUAGAAAGUUACUUCGGUACAUCGGUGACAGGUGGUGCAUGGUUGUCGUCAGCUCGUGUCGUGAGAUGUUGGGUUAAGUCCCGCAACGAGCGCAACCCCUAUUGUUAGUUGCCAUCAUUCAGUUGGGCACUCUAGCGAGACUGCCGGUAAUAAACCGGAGGAAGGUGGGGAUGACGUCAAAUCAUCAUGCCCCUUAUGACCUGGGCUACACACGUGCUACAAUGGUUGGUACAACGAGUUGCGAGUCGGUGACGGCAAGCUAAUCUCUUAAAGCCAAUCUCAGUUCGGAUUGUAGGCUGCAACUCGCCUACAUGAAGUCGGAAUCGCUAGUAAUCGCGGAUCAGCACGCCGCGGUGAAUACGUUCCCGGGCCUUGUACACACCGCCCGUCACACCACGAGAGUUUGUAACACCCGAAGUCGGUGAGGUAACCUUUUGGAGCCAGCCGCCUAAGG
rnacentral:rRNA from 1 species